GCAGGCAAACCCAAGUAACCUGCCUCCCAGAUUUGCGUGUUCCCUGUCCUGCAGGCUAUUCCUGGGGCCAAUGGGUGAUGAAGGGUUUCUGUGGAGCCGUGGGGUGGUGCUUUCCCCCAGUAGCACCCACUGUGGGCAGGAGUGGGUUAGGAACCUGCCCCUGCUCCCAGAGACAUGUCUCAGGUUAGCGAGAUGAUAGAAGAGGUGUCCUGAUGGAGCGUAUGUGGACAGAGACUGAACAGUUGUAGCUAAAAACCACUGCAAAAAAUAUUGCUGCUGCUACUGCUUUAUGGCGUUUAUGAAGAACUGAGCCUAAGGACUUAGCACCUUAAUUGCAUACAAACAAUUACCAUAUAAUAUCAUGUGGCUGUAGCAAUUCAUUCAAGUAGAUUCUCUCCUUGAAAAAGAUACAAUAUUUAGUUUCCUGUAACCAUUAAUAUUUAAAGAAAUAUUUUAUUUAUAUCCCAUUUUGUUCCAAAAAGGAUCUGAGAUGGGGUUUUUUGUUUUAUAAAACAACUUCUCUACAUAAAAUGGACUUUCAUUCA